GCAUUCUCAGACUUCUGUUUUAUCUGCAAAAAUAUAAUGCAUAGAUUUUUGAAAGCUCAUGCAUAUAUGGAAGAUUGACUCCAGAAAUUAUUGUGUUAGUUGUGCAAAGUUUAACUCAGUCAGCUUAUAUGUAGAAAGAGAUGUGCGAGGCAAGAAUGCCUACCAUGAAGGUUUUGGAAAGGAUCUGAGUCAGCAACUGUUUUAGUUAAUGAAGAUUUGGAUUCUUGAGUUUUAUUAUGCAUGAAUUGGAUGUACCUUGCUGCCAAAUUUUGUGAAUAAUGAAAAUAGGAAGGAAACAAAAGGGAUAUGAGGCACAUGUUGCUAUUUUUUUAAUUUCACCUCUAGGUUUCAAAUUUUAUAAUAAAAUUAUGUAUAAUAAAACUCCAAAGUUUCAGGACAUUCUCUAGGAAUGUCCUCCUGUGCACCAAAUUUAUUGGUAUCACAAAGGUAAAAUAGCUGGCCCCUGCUCCCGCUCUUGACGUGCUAUUAUAGCAAUUUAUCUUAGCAUUUUUUGCAUAUAUAUUACCGCUACAAAUCUUUUAGCAUGUGUACCCCUAAAAUACUUUACUUAUUUCCAUGCGUGCCCUCCCAGGAUUGUCUAUGCAAAAUUCCUUUUGCAUAGAUGCCAUUGGUUUUGCCUAGGUACCCUAGCAGGUGGACGGAGGCUUUCCAUGGCAUGCGGAUAAAUAUCAACUUUGCUGGGGUAUUUGCAAUUGUGGAUAUAUUGCAAGGAUGGUUUGUUCUCCUUCAAAGGUGGUUUAAAAAUUGGUUGAUUUAUGCAUAUCUGCCACUUCUGAAGUGUGUUCACUUGGGGAGGAUGAAAGUAUGGAAGGUUCAGAUGACAUAUAUAUAUAUAUAUAUAUAACAGAUGAAAUGUUCGUGCCGUGGAGGGGAACUCGAGUUUGUAGGGCUGGGUGAGUUCCAGUUCCGACAUGCACGAAAUCAAAGACGCCCUCGGAGCUCUCACUAUCUUCAGGUUAUUUGCAGACACUGAAACUACUUGCCUGCGCCUGCAGCAUGCAAAAGCAUCAAGCUUCGCCCUGCAGCAUGCUGAAUCCUGCUGGUUCCAUUCGCCUGUCCGGUCAAAUGAAAGAAAGAAAAGAGCCAACUACUUGGAAAUAUUUAUUACCGGCAGCUAAAUGCAAGGAGCCUACGUGCCAUCAUCACAGGGAACGGCGAAUUGUGCUAUGAGAAUGGCUUUGAUCAGGACCGAAAUAUGAAAAUAGGAUCCGAGCACGCAUUGCGUUGAGAUGUCAAAGGAGAUCGACAUUGCCCUUUCUCGAACGCCAAGAACUCCAAGGAGAUCGACAUUGCCCUUCUCGAAGGCCAAGAACUCGAAGGAUAUCGACAUUGCCCUUCUCAAAGGCCAAGAACUCGAAGGACAUCGACAUUGCCUUUCUCGAAGGCCAAGAACUUCGUACUGAUGGUGCAACAGAGGCGUACAUAGAAGAGUCGCGAGCCGCAUUUGCGUCUCACUUGCAGUUGCAGUGUUAUUUCUGUGGCACCAACGUGAAGCAGAGAAGAAUGAAUAUCCCGACGUUGCAUCUGUCAUUGUUCAGUUGUUUUAGCAUUUGGUCCCGCUUGCGCUCACUUGCACGUAAUAAUAUAUUAUAGGCACAAUGUCGAGAUACACCGCUAAUAUCCAAGCUCAACCAUUAUUAAGAGACAAAAACAGAAGGCUACUCAAAACAGUUUUAAUUAAUCUGAGCGUGAUAAAUACAAA